rnacentral:tRNA from 1 species
GGAGGGGUGGUCGAGUGGUUGAUGGCUCCGGUCUUGAAAACCGGCGAGGGUAAAACCUCCGUGGGUUCGAAUCCCACCCCCUCCG